CGUGAUAUGCAACUGUUCAGGGAAGUCCGGAACCAAUACACGCAGUCAGUCAGGAAAGCUAAGGCCAGCUUCUUCAGGCAGAAGUUUGCAUCCUGUAGCUCCAACUCCAAAAAGUUCUGGGACACUGUGAAGUCCAUGGAGAACAAGAGCACCUCCUCCCAGCUGCCCACUGCACUGAGGCUAGGUAACACGGUCACCACUGAUAAAUCCAUGAUUAUCGAAAACUUCAAUAAGCAUUUCUCAACGGCUGGCCAUGCCUUCCGCGUGGCUACUUCAACCUCGGCCAACAGCUCCGCCCCCCCCCCCCCCCCCCCCGCAGCUCCUCGCCCAAGCCUCUCCAGGUUCUCCUUUACCCAAAUCCAGAUAGCAGAUGUUCUGAAAGAGCUGCAAAACCUGGACCCGUACAAAUCAGCUGGGCUUGACAAUCUGGACCCUCUAUUUCUGAAACUAUCUGCCACCAUUGUCGCAACCCCUAUUACCAGCCUGUUCAACCUCUCUUUCAUAUCGUCUGAGAUCCCCAAGGAUUGGAAAGCUGCCGCAGUCAUCCCCCUCUUCAAAGGGGGAGACACCCUGGACCCAAACUGUUACAGACCUAUAUCCAUCCUGCCCUGCCUAUCUAAGGUCUUCGAAAGCCAAGUCAACAAACAGGUCACCGACCAUCUCGAAUCCCACCGUACCUUCUCCGCUGUGCAAUCUGGUUUCUGAGCCGGUCACGGGUGCACCUCAGCCACACUCAAGGUACUAAACGAUAUCAUAACCGCCAUCGAUAAAAGACAGUACUGUGCAGCCGUCUUCAUCGACCUUGCCAAGGCUUUUGACUCUGUCAAUCACCAUAUUCUUAUCGGCAGACUCAGUAUCCUCGGUUUUUCGGAUGACUGCCUUGCCUGGUUCACCAAUUACUUUGCAGACAGAGUUCAGUGUGUCAAAUCGGGCAUGCUGUCCGGUCCUCUGGCAGUCUCUAUGGGGGUGCCACAGGGUUCAAUUCUCGGGCCGACUCUUUUCUCUGUGUAUAUCAAUGAUGUUGCUCUUGCUGCGGGCGAUUCCCUGAUCCACCU
rnacentral:lncRNA from 1 species